rnacentral:lncRNA from 1 species
CUAACAUUGUCAAACAUUUGAAUGAAACUAAUUUUAUAUUACGAGCAAUCAUACAAAAUGGCAUAGAAGAGAAAUAUCAAAUUUGAAGACAUGACAUAUAAACCUUAAACCCUAAACUCUAGUUUGAAAAGAAAAUUACUAAACCCUAAACCCUAAUCACUAAACCAUAAACACAAAUAUAAACCCUAAACCCUAAUCACUAAACCCUAAACCCGUAUAUAGACCCUAAACACUAAUCACUAAACCCUAAACCCAAAUAUAAACCCUAAACCCUAAUCACUAGACCUUAAACACAUAUAUAAACCCUACACACUAAUCACUAAACCCUAAACACUAAACCCUAAUCGCUAAAACCCUAAACCCAAAUAUAAACCCUAAAUCCUAAUCAUUAAACCCUAAACCCAAAUAUAAACCCUAAUCACUAAACCCUAAACCCAAAUAUAAACCCUAAACCCUAAUCACUAAACUCUAAACCCAAAUAUAAACCCUAAAAACUAAACUCUACUCACCCACUUAAAUACUAAAACCCUAGACAAACCCCUAGUUACUAAAUCUAAACCCAAAUAACUAAAGUAUAAACCCAAACAAUCUAUAUAAUAUGUUGUCAAUU